rnacentral:rRNA from 1 species
GAUGAACGCUGGCGGUAUGCUUUACACAUGCAAGUCAUACGGAAGUUAGUUUCGGCUAACUUCAGUGGCGGACGGGUGAGUAACACGUGAGAAUUCGCCUUUAGGAGGGGGAUAACAGGGGGAAACGCCUGCUAAAACCCCAUAUGCCUUCGGGUCAAAAGAGUAAUCUGCCUAAAGAGAAGCUCGCGGCUGAUUAGCUAGUUGGUGGGGUAAAGGCCUACCAAGGCGACGAUCAGUAGCUGGUCUGAGAGGACGAUCAGCCACACUGGAACUGAGACACGGUCCAGACUCCUACGGGAGGCAGCAGUGAGGAAUUUUCUGCAAUGGGCGAAAGCCUGACAGAGCAAUACCGCGUGAGGGAAGAAGGCUUACCGAGUUGUAAACCUCUGUUACCUAAGGAGGAAGAUCUGACGUUACUUAGGAGACGAAGCAUCGGCUAACUCCGUGCCAGCCGCCGCCGUAAAAC